rnacentral:rRNA from 1 species
CGAAAGCCUGACGGAGCACGCCGCGUGAGGGAUGAAGGCCUCUGGGCUGUAAACCUCUUUUCUCAAGGAAGAAGAUCUGACGGUACUUGAGGAAUAAGCCACGGCUAAUUCCGUGCCAGCAGCCGCGGUAAUACGGGAGUGGCAAGCGUUAUCCGGAAUCAUUGGGCGUAAAGCGUCCGCAGGCGGCCUUGAAAGUCUGUCGUUAAAGCGUGGAGCUUAACUCCAUUUCAGCGAUGGAAACUACAAGGCUUGAGUGUGGUAGGGGCAGAGGGAAUUCCCGGUGUAGCGGUGAAAUGCGUAGAUAUCGGGAAGAACACCAGUGGCGAAGGCGCUCUGCUGGGCCAUAACUGACGCUCAUGGACGAAAGCCAGGGGAGCG